CCUGGCUUAGGAUGAACGCUAGCGACAGGCCUAACACAUGCAAGUCAGGGGCAGCACAAGGAGCAAUCUGAGGUGGCGACCGGCGCACGGGUGAGUAACACGUAUGCAACCUGCCUGUAAGCGGGGAAUAACCCGUUGAAAGACGGACUAAUACCGCAUAAUACUAAAUUACUGCAUGGUAAUUUAUUUAAACAUUUAUGGCUUACAGAUGGGCAUGCGCAUGAUUAGCUAGUUGGAGAGGUAACGGCUCCCCAAGGCAACGAUCAUUAGGGGUUCUGAGAGGAAGGUCCCCCACACUGGUACUGAGACACGGACCAGACUCCUACGGGAGGCAGCAGUGAGGAAUAUUGGUCAAUGGACGAGAGUCUGAACCAGCCAAGUCGCGUGCAGGAAGAAUGUCCCUAUGGAUUGUAAACUGCUUUUGCAGGGGAAUAAAGUGCAUCACGUGUGAUGUUUUGUAUGUACUCUGCGAAUAAGGAUCGGCUAACUCCGUGCCAGCCGCCGC
rnacentral:rRNA from 1 species